GAUGAACGCUGGCGGCGUGCUUAACACAUGCAAGUCGAGCUAAGCACUUAUGAAAGAUUCUUCGGAUGAUUUCAUUUGUGACUGAGCGGCGGACAGGUGAGUAACGCGUGGGUAACCUGCCUCAUACAGGGGGAUAACAGUUGGAAACGACUGCUAAUACCGCAUAAGCGCACAGUACCGCAUGGUACCGUGUGAAAAACUCCGGUGGUAUGAGAUGGACCCGCGUCUGAUUAGCUAGUUGGUGGGGUAACGGCCUACCAAGGCGACGAUCAGUAGCCGACCUGAGAGGGUGACCGGCCACAUUGGGACUGAGACACGGCCCAAACUCCUACGGGAGGCAGCAGUGGGGAAUAUUGCACAAUGGGGGAAACCCUGAUGCAGCAACGCCGCGUGAGUGAAGAAGUAUUUCGGUAUGUAAAGCUCUAUCAGCAGGGAAGAAAAUGACGGUACCUGACUAAGAAGCCCCGGCUAACUACGUGCCAGCCGCCGCGGUAA
rnacentral:rRNA from 1 species